rnacentral:rRNA from 1 species
GACGAACGCUGGCGGCGUGCUUAACACAUGCAAGUCGAACGGAAAGGCCCCUUUGGGGGUACUCGAGUGGCGAACGGGUGAGUAAAACGUGAGUAACCUGCCCUGGACUUCGGGAUAACUUCAGGAAACUGGGGCUAAUACCGGAUAGGAAUCCUUGCUGCAUGGUGGGGGUUGGAAAGCUUCGGCGGUUUUGGAUGGACUCGCGGCUUAUCAGCUUGUUGGUGGGGUAGUGGCUUACCAAGGCUUUGACGGGUAGCCGGCCUGAGAGGGCGACCGGCCACAUUGGGACUGAGAUACGGCCCAGACUCCUACGGGAGGCAGCAGUGGGGAAUAUUGCACAAUGGGCGGAAGCCUGAUGCAGCAACGCCGCGUGCGGGAUGACGGCCUUCGGGUUGUAAACCGCUUUCAGCAGGGGCGAAGCUUGUGGUGACGGUACCUGCAGAAGAAGCACCGGCUAACUACGUG